rnacentral:rRNA from 1 species
GAGCGAAAGCAUGGGGAGCGAACAGGAUUAGAUACCCUGGUAGUCCAUGCCGUAAACGUUGGGCACUAGGUGUGGGGGACAUUCCACGUUCUCCGCGCCGUAGCUAACGCAUUAAGUGCCCCGCCUGGGGAGUACGGCCGCAAGGCUAAAACUCAAAGGAAUUGACGGGGGCCCGCACAAGCGGCGGAGCAUGCGGAUUAAUUCGAUGCAACGCGAAGAACCUUACCAAGGCUUGACAUUCACCGGACUACCUCAGAGAUGGGGUUUCCCUUCGGGGUCGGUGGACAGGUGGUGCAUGGUUGUCGUCAGCUCGUGUCGUGAGAUGUUGGGUUAAGUCCCGCAACGAGCGCAACCCUCGUUCUAUGUUGCCAGCACGUGAUGGUGGGGACUCAUAGGAGACUGCCGGGGUCAACUCGGAGGAAGGUGGGGAUGACGUCAAAUCAUCAUGCCCCUUAUGUCUUGGGCUUCACGCAUGCUACAAUGGCCGGUACAAAGGGUUGCGAUACUGUGAGGUGGAGCUAAUCCCAAAAAGCCGGUCUCAGUUCGGAUUGAGGUCUGCAACUCGACCUCAUGAAGUCGGAGUCGCUAGUAAUCGCAGAUCAGCAACGCUGCGGUGAAUACGUUCCCGGGCCUUGUACACACCGCCCGUCAAGUCACGAAAGUUGGUAACACCCGAAGCCGGUG